rnacentral:rRNA from 1 species
AUUGAACGCUGGCGGCAGGCCUAACACAUGCAAGUCGAGCGGAGCGGCGGUCGGGUGAGUAAUGCCCAGGAAUCUGCCUGGUAGUGGGGGAUAACGUCCGGAGACGGGAGCUAAUACCGCCUUCUAUCAGAGGAGACUCGGUCGGAUUAGCUAGUUGGUGGGGUAAAGGCAUACCAAGGCGGAGAUCAGUAACUGGUCUGAGAGGAUGAUCAGUCAAUUGGGAAAUGAGACACGGUACAGACUCCUACGGGAGGCAGCAGUGGGAAAUAUUGGACAAUGGGCGAAAGCCUGAUCCAGCCAUGCCGCGUGUGUGAAGAAGGUCUUCAGAUUGUAAAGCACUUUAAGUUGGGAGGCGUUACCAACAGAAGAAGCACCGGCUAACUUCGUGACAGCAGCCGCGGUAAUUC